UACGUAGGCAGCGAGCGUUGUUCGGAGUUACUGGGCGUAAAGAGUGCGUAGGCGGUUUUCUAAGUUUGGUGUGAAAUCUCCCGGCUCAACUGGGAGGGUGCGCCGAAGACUGGAAGGCUUGAGUAUGGGAGAGGUAAGCGGAAUUCCUGGUGUAGCGGUGAAAUGCGUAGAUAUCAGGAGGAACACCUGCGGUGUAGACGGCUUACUGGACCAUAACUGACGCUGAGGCACGAAGGUCAGGGGAGCAAACGGG
rnacentral:rRNA from 1 species